AGAGUUUGAUCAUGGCUCAGRACGAACGCUGGCGGCGUGCUUAACACAUGCAAAGUCGAACGCGAAAAGUUUUCUUCGGGAAGACGWGUAGAGUGGCGCACGGGUGAGUAACGCGUAAGUAAUCUACCCCGGCAUCUGGAAUAACUCACCGAAAGGUGWGCUAAUACCGGAUACGUUUAUCUUGAUGCGAAUGAUGAUMAAGAAAGGUGGCCUCUUCWUGAAAGCUACUGUACAGGGACGAGCUUGCGUACCAUUAGCUAGUUGGUAGGGYAAUGGCCUACCAAGGCGACGAUGGUUAGCGGGUCUGAGAGGAUGAUCCGCCACACUGGAACUGGAACACGGACCAGACUCCUACGGGAGGCAGCAGUGAGGAAUAUUGCGCAAUGGGGGGCAACCCUGACGCAGCGACGCCGCGUGGAUGAUGAAGGCCUUCGGGYCGUAAAAUCCUGUCAGAUGGAAAGAAGUGCAURGUGGUUAAUACCUGCYAUGUUYGACGGUACCAUCGAAGGAAGCAACCGGCUAACUCCGUGCCAGCAGCCGCGGUAAUA
rnacentral:rRNA from 1 species